UCUAGCCACUAUCUAUGUAAUUGAUAUAGUUAUCAGAUAGUCCUGACAUUCAAAAGACUGAGUAUAUUUAGCCAGUCAUUGGCUAGAAAAGUUAUCUAGUCAUUACUAUCUAGCUAGUCUUGAAAUCUGCUCUAUUAGAUACAUUUUUUGCUCGGGCACCGAGCAAGACUCGGCUUCUUAAAGUCCUUGCACAAUGCCAGGCUACAGGCAAUAGAAAUAAGCACUAGCCAAUAGGAACGGAGAAUAGAAAGAAUUGACCAAUCCGAAUUCCUAUUCCCUGUUCCUUAUUGCCUGUUGCCUGGCAUUCUGCAAGAGCCUUUAUUCUCGCUCUCUUCCUCUCCCUCCCUCUUUCUCCGUCAGUUUGCGCAAACGUGUCACUCUUCGGAAUUAUUGUCGUCAUUAUUACAGCCGGAAGCGAGAAGCGGCGAUUCAAAGGGCUCGUUACACCUCCUCAUCCACCACUUCGCAGCCUCUUCAGCCUCACGGAGGAGGAGGAGGAGAACGUUGAAAAGACUCGUCGAGCAAUGAAAAGGGCGGCCCAAAAUGCCGGAGAAACUGUGGCGUGCAGCACUACCGCCAUGUAAAUUUAACGCGACCUGCACUUUUAACUGUCCGCGACGUGACGAGGUGUUCGUCUGGCUCGAGGACAAAGGCCUCCUGUUCCUUUAAUGGCAUUGGAGCUUUGUUCAUCUUCCCCUCAACGCUAGAUUAAACACUUGUUUCACUCUGGAGGGAAAAAGUGCAGCCUAGUUCAGCUAAAAAGAGCAGACCUCGAGUCUUAUCCCCCCGAGAACAAUGGCGUUGUCGAUGGCGCGCUCGAAGAAUCGCUCCCGUUAUCGAUCGCGAACGGACCGGCCGAGGCCCUUCGUCUACGUGCCAAGGUCAAGGCCCGACCUCGCGCCAGCCAGCUCGCAAGCCCUCCUCUCUCAUCGGACGUGCGGCUCAGCUCCUCGUGGUCCACCGGUGUGGCUUCUACACGACAAUUCGCGUAUGUACGUCUCCGAGGAAUUAUGUAACCAGACUUUCGACUAGUCCAACGCUGCUCCGCUGUUCUCGCAAGCGCUCUGCGCGUUCCCAUCCUUGGGGACCACAUGCGUCGAUCGUAUACCGGCACGCUCGGAAAUGAAACAAGAAAGUGACGCAGAAGUAUUCUCUAAAUUCCUUGGGCGAGGCAGGAGGGAAGAGUCGGCGAGAGUGAACAUCGGUGCGUUGCACGCUGCGAUGCAAAUCACGUGGGAGACGACGACGCGGUCGAGGAAGAUCCUACGGAUGAGACAUGGAUAUUGGACGAGUGCAAGUCUGCUCUUGGAAUUUCUGGAAAUAAAAUUGCAUGCGAGAAGCAGACUAACGGUCGAGUUGAAUGACUUAUCAUUUAUGUAGAGUGAUUUAUUCUUCAUUCUGAGUCGGCGAUUAUUUUCACUCGAGAUUGUGCAGUGAAUCGGAUGUGUUCCAUUGAACAAAUUCAUUGUAAUCGAUUGAGACACUCGCUCAUAUCAGUUAAGGGAGAAUUCAUUUUUUAGGUUUGAAUUAAUCUUUUUAGAGGGAUACUGACAUAUACGUGUAGAUAUGUCCAAUUUCUUUUUUUUAAUUAACAUUACCGACAUAUAACGAAUAUUACUGUGAAUAAACAUUCAUCAAAAAUUCCACAAAGAGAAAUAUCGUAACAUGACUGAUAAAUGUCAUAUUUAUUACUUUAAACUUAAAUCAGUUCCUUCUAAUUUUGAUAAAUUCGUCCCUGAAGAAGUUAAAGAUUUACUCUCUUAUCCCGAGUAGCGAAAUAUUUUCACUAUCACUUCUCACUCAUGUCGGAUGAGAUUUCAGUCCAAGAAAUUUAGAUCAGAGAAUAUUCUUUGAUCUAACUCGCACAGAUCAAAAUAAUAGCCUUAAUAUUUAUUAGGCAUAUCUGAAUUUUUCGAUUACAAGCAUCGUGUCUAUAUUUAUGCAUCAUAAUUACUAAUUGUUCAAGGAAAUAAUAGUAUUUUAUUACUUUUUCUUUUAUAUGUAAUUUUGCGUUAUAAAUGCCGUUUAGUCUAAUUGAUAUUCGAGAUAUCGCUGCUGUUUCCUCAAGUGAGAAGAUAUAAUGCGCAUGAUUAAAAAAAUUUCAGUAACCCUAAAACUAAGUCUACAAUAGAUGUAAUAGAUCUUUAGCUUUUUGCUUUAAGGCCUAUAAUUUCUGACAAAACAUAUUUUUCGCAAUCUCUUAAUAGCUAGAGUAUGGGCAGCUCGAUUAAAGUUUAGGGAUCACAACUUCAGACAGCAGUGGAAAGCUGUUCUAGCCGAAAAUUACAUCACAGUUUUGGACUUAGGGCAAAAGGCUAUAGACUUACUACACACCCGCCCUAAGCCUGAUAAAUGUUGAGGCCAUCAUGUCGGCUUGUGAACAAUCAGUGGAAGUUAGGUUGCAACAUUUUUAUCUCCAUGAGCCUUCUGAGAAGUGCCGAGGAACGAAUUCUUCUGUUGGACACGAAUACAUUAUGCAAUCCAUUGGAAAAAAGUGUUGCGACCUUCUCCCACAAGUUGUACGUGAAGAUUCGCGUCGGGAACGUUACGGUUAUUAAUCCACGGUUUCCUCGUUUUUUUUAUCGUUUCAUGGAAAUGUCUCGCGAACGAAUCGACCUACUGCCGAUCGUUGACUCUCUCUCCGCGUUUUCCGUCGCCGCACGGCAACGUGUGCGCGCGCGCACACGCUCUAACGUAAUUUAUCGUUUUGUUUUUUGAAACUCCGAAAUAGACGCGUCGAUAAUCGAUACGGUGUCGCGCGGCGACGAAUACUUGUCCGAAACCGUCGCCGUUAAAUACGUAAAAUGAUCCCUUCGGGAUGAGCGAGGAGAAGCGCUUUCUUCAUACAUUUAGCCUGGCUCGAGUCGAAGAGAGAGAGCUAGAGAGAAAAAGAGAGAGAGAAGGAGAGGCAGAGAGAGAGAGAAAGAGGGGAACAGGAGGAGGAGAGAGAGAGUGGAAGAGGAGAAGAUGGGAGAAGCCACUGUCAAUGCUGAGCGCACCUCGCACACCCAUUAUGUAAUUUGGUGUACGUUGGACGUCGAGUAUACUCAUAUUUUCCGCGGAAAUAAAUCGGCGGGGCUGAGCCAACGAGAGACGACGAGCGCUGGCACCUUGAAAACGCCCGUGCCAGCCACUGCCGUUCAUACAAACAGUUUCUGCGUUCGUUAAAAUUAAACGAGAUUUCGCUCGCGCCGUUCGUGCAAAACGAGAUUUUACAUACAAUUAUAUUCAUUGUUGCCCGACCGAGCGGGAAGAAACCGCUGCGCGGCCAAUCUCGGAAACAACCUCGACAUCCGGUCGCCGAGACACUGACCGCCUUCGCAGAAUUCCCGCCCAGGAAGUAUUACGAUUCGGUGAGGUCGUGUCCAUAUCGGAUUUACGCUUAACGGCGCGCCGCUAGCACAGAUUCAGAGAUCGUACAAAUGCAAAGGCGUUGCCAGACGCCUUGUUCUAUAAUAAAUAUAUAAAUAUAGGUUGUAAAGUGCGAAGCACACACGCAACACACACACACACACACACACACAAAGUGUGCGAAGUGUCUGAAACUGGGUCGAGUUUCUUCUGCUCUUGCACUCGUCUUUCUCGGGCUGUCUCCAAGCAAAGUAUCUUACAAUAAGGCCCAUUCUAAUACACACAUAUACACAAGGUAUUUCCAAAUUAACACGUUGACUACCACGCUGACUUCUACUGCAUAUUUCAAUGUUCAGCUAAAGUUCAAAUUACUAAAGAUAAAGAUACGGUAAAUUAAAGCAAUUCAUAAUAAAUAUUAUUAGCUGGUUUCGUUGGCUCCCUAUUGGCUAUAUAUUUUAUUUGUGUUAUAUAUAUUUGAAGGAAAGUUUCGUUAUUUUAUAUGGUCCAGUUACAAAAAAAUUCUUAUUUAUUCUGAUUUAUCAUUUUAUAUGUAUACAGAAAAAUAUCGUUCCAUUGCUAAGAAAAACGGUUACUUGAUUUAAUUUGCUUCUGUUAAGUAAUGGUUAUUAUCCCCGAUAGAGAAUAUUUUUUAAUAACAUAUACAAACAUAAAUAACUUAAAAUAUAUUCGUCACAAAUUUGAGAAGCUUAUCGCGCACUGAAAAGCAGGAUUUAUUCUCUUUGCAAGAAUAUUAUGAAAUUAUAUUUUAUUGAAGAAAAAGUUGUUUUGUCUCUACAUAAUAAGCAAGCCGAAUUUUUGUUUAAAUUUAAUAUUCUUAGUUAAAAUGUUAAACUAGGAUUUGAAGGAUUUGUAUCUUGAACAAAUUUAAUGCUUAUAAUAAACUCAUAACAGAUUUUUAAAUAUAUAAACUUACGAAAUACUUACAACAAGCAACAUUUAUUUAAACGUACUAUGUAUUUUUCUAUGUGUGUAAAUCAAUAUAACGCAGCAAUAUUAUAGUUCACUGGUGAUCCAUGUUAUAACACUGUGGGCCAUGGUAGUCAACGUAUUAUAAUUUUUAAAGCGCUAGAUUUUCUUUUUAUUUAUUUGCUAAAAUAAUAAAGCGUCUUUUACAAGAAUAAUGCUUCCCAUAAAGUUGAGAUGGACAUUUGUAAGAGAAAAGCUUGUAGAGAGAAUAACCAAAAUUCUAUUUUGAAAAUCACUACUGACGUCUAAUAUAUUUACACAUUGUGAUAUCAUCAGCGAGCACUCAUUUUGGAUUUGUGGCAAAGAUCAAUCAAUGUCGAGAAUUAAUUUUCUCUCAUUGUAUUCAACUUUACUAAGAGUAAAUAAUUCGGUAUAUAAUUAUAAAACUCAAGCUCAAUAUGUUUUUGCCUUUAUUUUGAUGUUAUUUUAUUGCUGGUAAAAUAUCUGAUGAUCUUUAAGGACAUUUGGCGCGAAAUUUGGACAUAUUAAAACUCGCCAAACGGUAAGCGUGGCGCUUUAAAGGAUUACCAUCGAAUUGCUUUGAAACACUCUCUAAAUAAAUUGCUAUAAACACGUAUAUUUACUAUACACAGAAUUAUGCAUUUACUAUACACAAAAAAAGUUUUGUAAUAGUUAACUAAUGUAUUUGAUUGAGCAUUUUAAUACGAUAUUUAGUAUAUAAUUAGUAUCAAAUACAGUAAUAUUUACCAACCACAUGAAUGAUAAUUACGAAUGAUUAGUGAAACAAAUUUUUCAUUUAGUUGUAUCAAUUAAACGGUUUGGAAAAUAAUACUAAAUAAUUUAGUAAUAAAUACUAAAUAUAGUGCGAUUAUAAUCAAAGGCUUUAGUCAUUUCGUAUAUUUAUCACGUAAUAUAUAUUAUGAAGUAUUAUUAAACAAUAUGGUUUUUUUCAUAAAUUGUUUCAUGACAUGUAUCACAUAAAUUGAUAAUUUUACCAAAUCUUAGUAAGAGAUACCACAAGCCUUGCUAAGAUUAUUUGUUAAUAUUUAUCAAAUUAUUUGAUUAUAUUCGCCUACAUGUUUAAUUG